rnacentral:rRNA from 1 species
GACGAACGCUGGCGGCGUGCUUAACACAUGCAAGUCGAACGGAAAGGCCCUGCUUUUGUGGGGUGCUCGAGUGGCGAACGGGUGAGUAACACGUGAGUAACCUGCCCUUGACUUUGGGAUAACUUCAGGAAACUGGGGCUAAUACCGGAUAGGAGCUCCUGCUGCAUGGUGGGGGUUGGAAAGUUUCGGCGGUUGGGGAUGGACUCGCGGCUUAUCAGCUUGUUGGUGGGGUAGUGGCUUACCAAGGCUUUGACGGGUAGCCGGCCUGAGAGGGUGACCGGGCACAUUGGGACUGAGGUAGGGGCCAGACUCCUACGGGAGGCAGCAGUGGGGAAUAUUGCACAAUGGGCGGAAGCCUGAUGCAGCAACGCCGCGUGCGGGAUGACGGCCUUCGGGUUGUAAACCGCUUUCGCCUGUGACGAAGCGUGAGUGACGGUAAUGGGUAAAGAAGCACCGGCUAACUACGUG